rnacentral:lncRNA from 1 species
AAGGAAAGGAAAGGAAAGGAAAGGAAAGGAAAGGAAAGGAAAGGAGGAGGAAAAGGGCAAGGGAGAAGGAGGAGGAGAGGAAGGAAAGAGAAGGAAAAAGAUGGAAAAAGGAAAAAGAAGGAAAAGGAAAAAGGAAAAGAAGGAAAAGGGAAAAGGAGAAGGUAAAAAGGAGAAAAGGAAAAGGAAAAGAAAAAAUUAAAAGGAAAAGAAGAGAAGGACAAGGAGAAGAGGAAGGGAAAGAAGGAGAAAAGGACAGAGAAGGAAAAGAGAAGAGCAAAGAGAGGAGAAGGAGCAAGAGAGGAAGAGGAAGGGAAAGGUGAGGAAGAAGAGGAGGAGGACAAGAAAAAGAAGGGCAAGGAAAGGAGAAGGAGAAGAGAAGAGGAAGGGCAGUGGGGGUGGGACGAGAAGCUGAGAGGCACCGGGUGCCCCCCGCUCCCCAUCCCUCAGGGCCAGGCGUCCUCCUCCAGCCCCUCGGCGUCCCGGGGGGGCCAGGGGGGCUCGAGCAGGGAGGAGAGGACGCUCUGCAGGGCCCGCCAGGGCUGGGGGGCACCGGGGGGCCGCGGCGUGGGGAUGCGGGACGGCUUCUUGCCGGGCUGCGUGUCCAACCGCGGCUUGGCACGGGGGCGCAGGGUGGGGGGCAUGGGGUAGGGGACCCCCGGUGCCAUCCCCUUGCCCCCCGUCCCUUCGUCCUCGUCCUCCUCAUCCUCAUCCUCCUCUCCUGGCACCCACUCGGGGUCGGACUCGGCGCCGGAGGCUGGCACCAAGCUGCUCUCGUCCGAGGAGCUGGAGGGGCGCCCGUGCCCCCCCCCACCACCGCCGCCACCCUCCUGCGCUUGGGGGGCUGCCGUAAGGGGGGGCCCGGCCCCUCCGUGCUUGCUGAAAACGUUGAGGGAGGAUGAGGAG